AUUGAACGCUGGCGGCAGGCCUAACACAUGCAAGUCGAGCGGAUGAAGGGAGCUUGCUCCUGGAUUCAGCGGCGGACGGGUGAGUAAUGCCUAGGAAUCUGCCUGGUAGUGGGGGAUAACGUCCGGAAACGGGCGCUAAUACCGCAUACGUCCUGAGGGAGAAAGUGGGGGAUCUUCGGACCUCACGCUAUCAGAUGAGCCUAGGUCGGAUUAGCUAGUUGGUGGGGUAAAGGCCUACCAAGGCGACGAUCCGUAACUGGUCUGAGAGGAUGAUCAGUCACACUGGAACUGAGACACGGUCCAGACUCCUACGGGAGGCAGCAGUGGGGAAUAUUGGACAAUGGGCGAAAGCCUGAUCCAGCCAUGCCGCGUGUGUGAAGAAGGUCUUCGGAUUGUAAAGCAUUUUAAGUUGGGAGGAAGGGCAGUAAGUUAAUACCUUGCUGUUUUGACGUUACCGACAGAAUAAGCACCGGCUAACUUCGUG
rnacentral:rRNA from 1 species